rnacentral:lncRNA from 1 species
CUCCUUUUUCUGUUUUCGCAUCAAUUCCACUUGGGUGCGCAAAUCUUUUUCUAGUUGCAAGAUGGUCGUCUCUCCUUCUUCCUGAAUAAGACAACGUACCACUGUUAUAAGAUUCCAAGUGAAUUCCUUCAGAGGAAGAGAAGGACAACAUAAGAAGGCGUGGAUGACAGACUUUCAGUUAAACUAACAAGUAUAACAGGACAACUAAGACUGCCCUGGCACCAGAGAAACUACAAUCUAGAUGUGCUCUGCUUCCAGUCGGCCGAGAAGCCUGCAGCAAAUCACCUAAACACUUAAGGUCUUUGUGUGCCAUCCACACCCAACUGCAACUAGAGACUUUCAUUAGCCCCUUUCUGUCUCAGAGCUUUCGGUGGUUCUACAAGUCACCAGCCUGGAUCUCUAACAAUGUGUCUCUCCAAAGCUGUUAAUACAUUCACAUCCAAAAUAUCUCCAGCCACGAAAUCCUAGUUUAGAGGUUGCCCGUCCUUGUUGAAGAAACAUUUCUACACAAAUACCUGUUGCCUAUACCAGAUGGCCAUACCAAUACCCAAAUACUGACAAACGUUUAAAAGAAUUUACGGUACUCCCUUCACUUUAGAAAUGUUAACAGUUCAAGUCCAACAGAACUUAAAGGAAAAAAAGAGAAAUGUUAACAGUAAGUAAGGCAUUUAUUUAACAUAAUCUCAACUAAAGUCCAACUAAAGAGCUUCCCCAGGCAAACACUCCUUUUGCACUUCAUUUUGAAGACAAAAGAAUGCACAAGUUAAAAUCCUAAUAUUACCAUUUUAUUAAAAAUAACUUUUAAGAUCCAAUCUGUGGCCAAUAUUCGAUCUGGAUGCAAAACCCUGGCUUCCAGACAGGCCAGCCAGGGGCACUGCUCUGAAGGUCAUUACUUAAGUAUCCCAGUCUCCUCAGUCUGACAGACCUACCCCUGCCCAGCCAAUCUCCACAUAACAGCUAGUUGUUCAUAAUAAAUCCCAUCAGAUCCCCGCUUAACUACUCCCCUUCAAAGGCUCCACUGCCCUCAGGAAAUAGUUCAACCACCUUCUGUAGAAAGGCCUUCUAAAACCUCUCUCCGAGUCUGUCUGCUAAUCUCUCCCACUUGACACUCCCCAGGUCUCUGGCCAGCUGAACUUCCCGGGCAUUUCCUGAACAAUGCCCCUCAAUAAACCACAUGCAACUCUCAU